rnacentral:rRNA from 1 species
GACGAACGCUGGCGGCGUGCUUAACACAUGCAAGUGGAGCGACGAACCAGGGCUUGCCCUGGGGCAAAGCCGCGAACGGGUGAGUAACACGUGGGUAACCUACCCCGACGACUGGGACAACCCGAGGAAACUCGGGCUAAUACCGGAUAUUUUCACCUCUCACAAGUGAGGUGAUUAAAGGAGGCUUCGGCUUCCGCAUCGGGAGGGGCCCGCGGCCCAUUAGCUAGUUGGUGAGGUAACGGCUCACCAAGGCAACGAUGGGUAGCUGGUCUGAGAGGACGAUCAGCCACACUGGGACUGAGACACGGCCCAGACUCCUACGGGUGGCUG